GUUAGGAAACCUGAGACUUGGAGUGAGAAUCCCAGUGUGGAAAAUCAGGAAAGAGGUUAUUGAAUUCAUUGGAGAAUGAAUGCUGUUCUGAAUUUGUAUCCUAAGGGAAAUACUACAAAAUGUCUCAGAAAGUAUUGGUUGGAUAUCUAAAGUUUAAAAAGGAAGAGAACCACACCAGCUGGAGAUUAAAGAAGCAUCAGUAGAAUAUCUUAAGGGAAAUACUACAAAAUGUCGCAGAAGGUGCUGGUUGGAUAUCUAAAGUUCAAAAAGGAAGAGAACUACACGAGCUGGAGAUUCAGGAAGCAUCAGUAGAAGUCAAUGGCCAUUAAUAAAAACAUUUUUUAUUAAAAUAUUGAAUGUGAAUAGAA
rnacentral:antisense_RNA from 1 species